CUCUUGGAUUCCUGUAUCUAAAAUAAAACCUGUGCUUCCUUUACAGGAAACCAGUGAACAAACUAACAUGCCUUCUUAUUCCUGCGAACCUUUAGAAGAUCUGAAACUCCUGUUCAAACGACUAUGAAGUGUCUCCCCGCCUGGUGCUGAGACUCUCUGGCUGCCAUUCCUUCAAGCUCACAGAUGACCCUUUCUACCUCAGGAGGUUCCCACAUGUUGCCUACCUAGGAUUCGGCUGCCUCUGCCUUUGAUUUUUUUAUACUGCAUGUGUUAUUUAACAAGAAAUGGUGAAGAUAUUUAAAAACAUUCACCCUUUGAUUCUACUUCUUGGAAACAUCCUAAGGAAGUGAUUAAGGAU